rnacentral:rRNA from 1 species
AUGAAAAUCAUAAGCUGGAACUGCCGGGGGCUCGGGAACGGCCCGGCAGUUCGUAGCCUUCUCGAUCUGGGAAGGAGGGAGGAUCCCGACAUACUGUUCCUAGCGGAGACAAAGUUGACGGUGAAGGAGUUGGAAAGAUUUCGGUGGAUUCUAGGGUUAACGCAAAUGAGUGCUUGGAAUCCGGUUGGAAGAAGCCGGGGGCUGGCACUGUUUUGGAGGAGGGGAGUGGAUGUUUCUUUGCAAUCGUAUGGCAGGAGGCACCUGGAUGUGGAUGUGAAGGAGGAGGGUGGA